rnacentral:rRNA from 1 species
UACGGAGGGUGCAAGCGUUAUCCGGAUUCACUGGGUUUAAAGGGUGCGUAGGUGGGCUGUUAAGUCAGUGGUGAAAUCUCCGGGCUCAACCCGGAAACUGCCAUUGAUACUAUCAGUCUUGAAUAUCGUGGAGGUAAGCGGAAUAUGUCAUGUAGCGGUGAAAUGCUUAGAUAUGACAUAGAACACCAAUUGCGAAGGCAGCUUGCUACCCGAAUAUUGACACUGAGGCACGAAAGCGUGGGGAUCAAACAGG